rnacentral:rRNA from 1 species
CCCUUAGAUGUUCUGGGCUGCACGCGCGCUACACUGAUGCGCUCAACGAGUUUCUUUCCUUGGCCGACAGGCCUGGGCAAUCUUUGAACAUCGAUCGUGAUCGGGAUAGAUUCUUGUAAUUUUUGAUCUUAAACGAGGAAUUCCUAGUAAACGCAAGUCAUCAGCUUGCAUUGAUUACGUCCCUGCCCUUUGUACACACCGCCCGUCGCACCUACCGAUUGAAUGGUCCGGUGAAAUCUCCGGACUGGCGUGAGUCGGAGCAAUCUGACAAACGCCGGAAAGUUGAUUAAACCUUACCAUUUAGAGGAAGGUGAAGUCGUAACA